AUGACUCUUCCCUGCCUCCUCCAGAAAAGCAAGUGCGCACAUCUUGCCCUAAGAAGAACUCGGGGUGCCCUGGGCGUUGACCAGGUCCUGCAGCAUCAGGCGUUCGGACAUUUUAAACUCGUAUUUCAGUGUGUCUACCUUGAAUCCAGCUAAGAAACACCCUCGGUACAGGUGCUGUGCAGUUAGCUUCCUGUGCUUAUGGAAAAGCUUCACCACACAAGUAAACAGUGUGCGUUUCCAGACGCUAUGAGUCGUCCACCAUCUGAAGACAAAGCAGAGAGUGACAAAUCACCUUUGUCAGCAGGACCUUGCCAGAGAGAUCAGUGUCCCUGCACUAAUCACAUGUGGAUAGGUUCACGGAGAAACACUUUGGGGAGAAGGCUUUCUGCAGCGUGGGAGCUGCAUUUCUAAGCUGCGGGCGAGUCACUGCCAUUCUCUGUAGCCCUUGUCAUUUGCCCUCAAGACCACAGUCUGACCCGGCAACCCUUGUGGCGACAGCACACCUUUCAGACCUUGGUGAGCUGCUUCUGACCCACAAUCUGAAUCGCUGUGAUGAGUUGUGCGUGGUGACGGCCAGUGAAUGAAUGGAAAAGAACACAAGGGCAAGAAGCCAGGAGACCGGCACAGGCACUCAGACCUCUGCUCUGGGGCUGCCAUCUGAAUGGGCAGCUGGACUUGAUAAUCUUUGCUGGCACGGGUGACCUGUUUGUGACGUUGUGGAAUAAGUCAUAUGAUGAAGAAGCAAACAUUCCAUUGCAUCUGGACCUGGGAGCUCUGAGUGUCCUGAGCAUCCUACCCUGGUGACAUGACCUGCCUUCCUGGCUCUCCUGUGUGAAGUUGCUCUCCAUUCCCCUGCUCAUAAGUAGCUGUAUAAACUGAAUAUAUCCUUUUACUAAUUUUUGUGCGUGUGGGUGGUAAGAAUACAAAGAAAUUGCUUAAGAA
rnacentral:lncRNA from 1 species